rnacentral:lncRNA from 10 species
GGGAGGGGAGGGGAAGGGAGGGGAAGGGAGGGGAGGGGAGGGGAUGGGAGAAGGGAGAAGGCAGUGCACAUUGCAUGCAGUAAGGAAAGUAUUCUGUUAUAAACUUUGUUUCAGUUUUUUUGGGGGGGUGUGUGUGUGUGUACUGGGUCCUGAGAUAAAAUUUCUUUCUUACAUGAUCUAAGAAGUAUGUGUGCAUCAGAGGAGUCCAGGCUUUGAGUCUGGGAUCAGCACAGUUCCUGACUCUGACCCACACACCAUGAGCCAAAGCUCUAGACCUUUCAGAAAUUCUUCACCAUCAGAAAAAUAGAGGUGGCACACCCUGCCCCAGCUGAUCAACUUCCCAGAUGUGCUGUGAGCCUGCAAUAAGAGAACGGAUGUGAAAGUGCUUUGUAAACUGAAAAUUCCAAUGAGAAAAAUCCAUUAUCAUUAGGUACCAUUAACCGGAAACCUAAGAGGAGAAAGAGAUAGAAGUGGCCUGGCUUUGAAACAUAGUGCUAUCCCCUAGCAAGCAGAGGAGGAGCUGUCAGACAGAAAUGGUACCUUUCCCCAGAGUCUAUGUUGAGAUGCACCAGCCUUUCCAGUCCUGAGAAACAACAAAGUCAUUGCUCCAGGGCAGGUGGGCAGGCCUGUGUCCCAGGAGGCACUGUUCUUCCUGGCCAGAGACCCAUGCCCUCUUCAGAGGAGCCAUGAAGGAGAAACCCCAGGCCACAGUGAAGGAUUAUGACCAAGGAACAAUUGAAGACCUGCUGCAGGAAAUUGGAGCUGCCAAUCUCCUAACAAUUGGAAUUUUUUUUUAUACUACGCAUUUCACGAUCGUUUGUCCUCAAGGACAGAGAAGAUCCUGCCCUAAGGAGCAAGUGUGUGGAGGCCACCCGACCUUCACUGGUUCCUGCACUGAAUGUUUCCUGCUCACCUGCUGAGUACCAGGUGUUACCCCAGGUAUGAGAUGACCAUGCCAGGAAGAUGCAGACCCUGCUCUCAAGGGCUCACAGGCUGCAGGCGAAGUAGACCAG